rnacentral:misc_RNA from 1 species
AACGCACAUUGCGCCCGCCAGUAUUCUGGCGGGCAUGCCUGUUCGAGCGUCAUUUCAACCCUCAAGCCUGGCUUGGUGUUGGGGCCUUGCGGCUACCGCAAGCCCUGAAAAGCAGUGGCAGGCUCGCUAUAACUCCGAGCGUAGUAACAUAUCUCGUUCUGGAAGGAUGGCGGGUGCCGGCCGUUAAAACUCCUACUUUUUUAAGGUUGACCUCGGAUCAGGUAGGAAUACCCGCUGAACUUAA